UACGUAGGGCGCAAGCGUUGUCCGGAAUUAUUGGGCGUAAAGCGCGCGCAGGUGGUUUCUUAAGUCUGAUGUGAAAGCCCACGGCUCAACCGUGGAGGGUCAUUGGAAACUGGGGAACUUGAGUGCAGGAGAGAAGAGUGGAAUUCCACGUGUAGCGGUGAAAUGCGUAGAGAUGUGGAGGAACACCAGUGGCGAAGGCGACUCUUUGGCCUGUAACUGACACUGAGGCGCGAAAGCGUGGGGAGCAAACAGG
rnacentral:rRNA from 1 species